AUUGAACGCUGGCGGCAGGCCUAACACAUGCAAGUCGAACGAGUGGCGGACGGGUGAGUAAUGUCUGGGAAACUGCCUGAUGGAGGGGGAUAACUACUGGAAACGGUAGCUAAUACCGCAUACCAUCGGAUGUGCCCAGAUGGGAUUAGCUAGUAGGUGGGGUAAAGGCUCACCUAGGCGACGAUCCCUAGCUGGUCUGAGAGGAUGACCAGGCAAACUGGAACUGAGGCACGGGCCAGGCGCCUACGUGAGGGAGGAGUGGGGAAUAAUGCACAAUGGGCGGAAGGCUGAUGCAGCCCUGCCGGGGUGAUUAAGGAAGCCCUUGGGGUUUAAAAGACUUUCAGGGGGGAGGCGUUACCCGCAGAAGAAGCACCGGCUAACUCCGGUCCAGCAGCCGCGGUAAUAC
rnacentral:rRNA from 1 species